AUGACGGCGGUCGGGUCGGGCCGGGACAGAACCGCAGGAGGCCAUGAAGGGCACGACGGCUGCUGGCAGAAGCAGCAGGGUUUGAAGGAGUGGCAGAUGUGGGCGGGGUCGGCGGUUGGGGCAGGCUCGCCGUCUGGGCAACAGCGAGCGCCGGUGAGCGCAACGAAAGGAAGCCAAUCGUCGGCGUACGUCAAUGAUUCGGGCGCCUGCGGCAUGUAUCUUGGUGAAUGUACAGAGCUAAUGUUCAAUUCAUUUUCUCAGGAAUAUCUGAUCUGCGCCAUGACAAUAUGGCCUUGCUGCAGCCAUGCGGUUCUUCGGAGUAUGGUGCUUCGAUUUGGUUCCUGUGGUGAGCGUAUCUGGAGAGGUCGCAAGCAGCAGGGGUCAGCGGAGCGGCUGCUGCGGUCGACAGAGCAGCAGGAGCAAGGAGCUCGAGACGGUUCAGGAAGAGUGCCUACAACGAUCACUGAACUGGAUAGAGGAGCUGGUGUUAUGUUCUACCUGAUCGAUUUUUAG
rnacentral:rRNA from 1 species